rnacentral:lncRNA from 1 species
CAUACAAGCUGCUAUUACGGCCUCCCUCCCUCACUCCCCGGCCUUCUCCGCGUCCUGGGCACUUCUCCUGGCCCCUCCUCCUGGCCCCGGCCCCCCGCCCCCUGGCCCCUGCCCCCUCACCUGAUCGAGGUGAUCUGCUUGACCACAUCGGCGGGCGAGUGCAGGUCGAUCAGGCGCUUGUGGAUGCUGUGAAAUACAUGUGUGUGGGGGGUGGGGGGAGGGGUUAUGUGCCUGUGCCCGACGAAAGAAAUGGGUAAGAGGUGUAGCGGCAGGUGGGUAAUCGGGCAAGCUUGCUCCAAGUUCCAAGAGGUGCGCAACCAAUCCUCCCAGGAAGAGCAACCAGACCUGGCCACAGAGAACUGCCAACGGGUUAGGCGUCACUGGGCACUGGUCCGUAGGCCCCUGGCGUCCUGGUCUCCACGCCCCUACUGCUCAGCCCAGCCUCGCACAGCUCCCGUCCCUCGGUCCCGUCCCUCGCUCGUGAACUGCGUCAGCAGGUACCUCUUGCAACCGCCGUGUCUCGCAACAUAACUGUGUGGCACACGCGGCCCCCCCCCUCGCCCCCUCUCACCGCAUCUCCAGCUUGUCGAAGGUGUUGGUGCCCUGACCCGAGGGCGCCUUGCGGGUGGUGAUGUGCAGGAUCUUUGUGGGCAUGCGCACCGGGCCCUUGACCUGCCGGGGGGGAGGGUGGCAUGCGGGGAUGAGGCCGGGCCGCAGGAGGGGCAGGUCAAGGCGGGUGGGGGCCAGCUGUACGGGGAGAGAGGGUGCAGGGAAUGCUGCCUCGCACCGCACCGCGCACAGGCCCCAAGUUCAAGUCUCAAGAAAGGAUGUGGCCCCGACCCAUGAAGAGACCCAUCAGCAAAAACGUAGCUUGAACCCCACGGGCCCCUCGCCCCCCCCCCCCUCUCCCUCGCCUCCAUCACCGGUCGCCUACCUUGAGCUGCUUCUCCUUGGCGCCCUUGAUCAGGUCGGCGGACACUGCAGGCACAAAGGAGCAGGGAUAGGAAGUGCCGUGUGGGGCGGGGAGGGGUGUGGGUUUAGGGGUGAUCGAGGGCAAGGGGAGGGGACACGGGCAGGGCGGUUACUCAGGGCGGGUGGGAAAGUCCGUGCAUGUCCUGUGGCUCAAUGGCAAUGGCAUGGCAUUGUCCUACUACUGCCAAUCAGUGCCACGCCCGUAUAUCGGCAACAGAGCCGGCGCCGCGGCCGCCGCCGACGCUGCAGCAACCCUUCGCGCCCUGCACUGCCGCCGCAACCCUCAUGCCCCCAAACGCAGCUCACCCUUCUCAAGUGACUUGACGUCGCGGCUGGUGAGCGUGAUGCGAAUGCGGUGGAUUUCCGGCACCUCGCCCUCCACGCCAGUCUUGUCCGCGUACUUGCCGGCCAUGGCUGCGGCACUGCUGCGGAUCUGCUGCUGUUGUGCUACUCAAAAAGAUGCAGUCGAGAGCGCGGCGGGAUUGCAAUCUGCGGCGCGCCGUUGGACAGCACGCAGGCGCGGACUUGGGCCAGGGCCAGGACUAGGGCUCGCAGGCGGCUUGCUGCUUUAGCUGCUACUGUACAAGCUAGACGAAAGAGGAAACGCUGGUGCUGCUCGUUAGCUUUGUAACUCGCUGGUGCGGCGGGAUCGACAUCGGGUCCCUCCGCAGCCCAUCCCUUUCCCCCUCGCGCCGGCUUCGGCGACUUGACCCAUCCAAGCAUUCCGCUCCCCGCGCCCAGCUGAACCCCUUCUGCGCUGUGAAUGACGAAGUGUCGCGGCGUCCAUCUACAAUGCACCAGCCGGCUGCUGGCAAGUGCCCCAAAGAUCCUAGCACUUGCAGGCCUACUGCUCUUUCACCCUUUAGCUGACCACAGAAACUCCCUUCCCUUGAGCUGCGCAUUGUCCCUGCAGCCGCCAAUUACCGCGCGCCCAGCCCUUCAUGAGGUAGACUGAGAGGCACACAAAGAAGAAACGGUUGGCACCCCGGUCACGUUACACAAACGAUAAGAGGUCUGUUCUGAUCGGUGCUGCCAGCACUUUACAUGUCGGCAAUGGUCACCUCCACCUCAACGCCGGGCUCAAUGCUGCGUGGCAGGUAGUGGCAGUGAUAAUGGGGAAGGAGUCAGAGCAGACAUCGCGGUACACCGAGGUGGUUUUGCCCGGCCAGGCUGACAGGCACCAUGGGUGCGUGCCAGGCUGCCGGCUGCAAGAAUCCCUAGCCACCCUGACAAAGCACCAUAGGACCACGGCUACAGUACCGUCAGCACGAACCAGUGCGCCCGUCCGCAGUCCAGCACCGUGACACAAUCGUGCUCCCGUCCGCCUGCUUGUUGCCAUACCUCCCCGCCUCAGCUGCAUCUUCCCUCUCCCUCCUCCCCUGGCCCCUGCCCCCUUACCUGAUCGAGGUGAUCUGCUUGACCACAUCGGCGGGCGAGUGCAGGUCGAUCAGGCGCUUGUGGAUGCUGUGAAAGGGGAAAGGGGAUGCACCGGCAGGUGGGUUUCGAUGGACAGCAACGUGUUGCAGAGCACAUCUGCUACGCCUCCACGCCGCCAUAACAUCGUUGUGCUGACUGGCGUCUAAAGUUGCCUUUCCCGUCCUAGGUACACGCUCUGUUUCUCCCCCAUGAACUCAGCGACGCGCUGCAUGUGCAAGGGUAAGGGCUGAAAACUGAACCCCUUACCCUUUCACCCCACGCCCAACCCGUGGCUUAUCCCGCCUUCCCUCCCAUGCACGCCGAGCACGCACCGCAUCUCGAAGCGGUCGAAGGUGUUGGUACCCUGACCCGAGGGGGCCUUGCGGGUGGUGAUGCGCAGCACCUUGGUGGGCAUGCGCACGGGGCCCUUCACCUUCAGCUGCUUCUCCUUGGCACCCUUGAUCAGGUCAGCGCAGACUGCGAUGAAGAAAAAUAAUACAUUGUUAAGCAGGUGUCACUAGCGAGCAUGACAUCAGUUGACUGUCGGCGGCGGCUUUUGCAGACCGCUUACCCUUCUCCAGGUUCUUCACGUUCUUGGAGGUCAGGGUGAUGCGGAUGCGGUGCACCUGGGGAGCCUCCGCCUCAACACCAGCCUUCUCAACACCUGCCUUGGUGGCCAUCUGCGCGCGACGCAAGCACACAAUGUUGGCUUUAAGAAUAUAAGAAAUGCAUAUUGCAAGGCAAAGAGGCAGCGCAAAGCAGCUGCUUUUCGAGCGUCGGCGGCGAAAUCGCUCCCGCUCGCGCACCUUGUAGAGCUUGCCGCGAGUCAGACGCCUCGGGAAAUGGAUGAGACCUGUCACUGACGGCUUGAAGGAGAGAGAAACCUGUGCGGCUUUCCGCCCUAUAGAAGCUCGACGCGCCCAUGCGGCGGACCCCAUGCAGCUGCCCAGCCCACAGACAGAGCCACUUCUCUGCCACUGCAUGCCCCACCCGCACCAUAUCCAGAACAGUGCACCUGAGCAAACUUGCACCAUGACUGCUAGCAUUUACAUGCUCGCAUCAUGCAGGCGGCCACGGCCCGUACCCAUCACACAUGUGCACAUGCACUGCCUCUGUCACUCCCCGCUGCGCCUCGUGCGUGCAGCUCCUCAUCGCUUCUGCCCGCUGCCGCUUGCACCCAGUAGGCCAGUGCGUCAGGUUGGCAAAACCUGUGCAUCGCAGUGACGCAGGUUGCAGCCGUGCAAGUUUCACAUGUCGCCGCUAUGUCUCCUGUAAUGCGAUGUCCAGUACUCACGUCUCAAGCUCCUCUUCCUCCUGCUUGCCCUGUCCCCAACUUCAAACCCAACUCGUCUAAUGCGUACGGUUACCUGGAAAGCUGGAACAUCCUGGGCUUGCCACAGCCACCAUAGCGUGGGACACUGCCCAGCAUGCUUGGCGACACGGCGUACCUUCUCCCACCCCCCUAAUUCAUUACAUCCUCCCCAGUCUUGUGUGUGAAGAGUGCUCUUCGCCUCCCGUCCUCGCUCCACAGUCCUUUAGCUUCAGCGUUGCAACUAGCAGCUCGCAAUACCAUCCAGCACGUGCAUACGAUAUAGUCAGCAACCAAACCAAAACCGCAAGUGCUGCCCAGUUCUUGCAACCUCAGGGCGCCGACAGCUACCCGUGCUGACGACCCGCCACGGAAGCAAUCCCCUCACCCAAGAUGAGUGUCGUUCAAUAUUGUGCCCCCAAUGCGUUUAAAAUUUCGCAACAAAGGUGGUUUCCCCGCCGCUCGCAAGGGAAAAGUGGGCUGCGCCCACGCCACGUGCCUAAUCUGAGGCCACAAGCGUGUACCUCAUCUCCGGGACGACAUAGCCGGGUUCGGUUCGUUUAGGCACGGCCCGCCAUGCAUCCAGUCACGUCCCGGACUCCCGGUGUCAAGCACCACAUACCGUGCUGUGCUAUGCCUGCCAGCAAAGACCGCUAACUAGACAAAAGUUUGAAACGAUGAUUACACACCAGCCCGUGCGCUUGGCACCUAGGUCAGGUACGUACCGUGGCGUGCAGGUAAUGCCAGAACUUACCGCAACACCGCGCGCUGCCGCGACGCCCAUCCGGUACGACCAUAAUAUGCCAUGCCUUAUGUAAACGGUAUGUCGCCUUUCAGGCGUGUCACCGUGAGCACGUGGACAUGUCAGGCUAAAUAAGCACAACCCUCCCGGAGUGUCAACCGGCUAGACCGGGUGUCUAUGAUAUCCGCGCCUGCCUCAGGUCCAAAGCCAUUGUACGCGGCACCUGACCCACAUCAGGCCGUGCACACAAGGACUAAUGCCAGACUGCUGCCACGGUUAUUGGUUCCAUGGCGCCUGUGGUCCACGCAUGAGCAGCAGGACCGAGCCGCCAUAAUCAAGUGAAACAGCACAAAAGCAACAGUGUCCCAGUACAGCCGCUUCAUCCCACACUCAAUAGCCAACUGUUUACGCAAACACCACAGUGGCCACGCGCAAUAAUACCCUGAGCCCUACGUAAAAGCUACGAUUAGCUAGAGACAGCCAAUGGCGCAGCCGGGAACUGUUGAAGGCUGCGUUUGUGCCCGCAUCAGAGUGCCCUAUUCGCAGCCACCAUCUGCACACACCUGCACGCACGCACGCGCGCGCGCACGAACGAACGAUGUCCUGCGCCAUGCAAUGUAAUACGCAACAACAAUGCGGACUUGAUGCCUGCGCCAAGCCGUGUAGCAAUUGAAAGCUGCUAAAACGGCGGCCGCCGCUGCCGCUGCCGUUGCCGUCGCCGCGCGGGUGGCCGGUCGGAUGCCGGUCAGGCACGCACACCAUGAGCCAUGCCGAGCAAUCCCCCAAAAUGCCUCGCACAUUAUGGAUGCGGAUUACAUUAUGCACACCCAAACCCCUAGUUUAUGGCACCAGCAGCGCCUUCGGUUCGCAGGAGCUGCGGCCGCUGUCGCAGGCUGGACCUAUACAGUUACUUGCCGGCACAGGCCGGCACGUACCGAGCGUGCUUGUCUCCCGUGACGCAUCCACGCCCGUCCACUGCGCUGUCUAGUGUACCACCUGAUUCCGCACAUUACCAGACCCCUGCGAUCUCCUUGGACAGGAGCUGCUGGUUUUGCUCCUGCGCUGUUGCAUGUCGCGUUGCUGUGGUUGUGCCAGUGCCAGGCAGGGCCAGCAGUGGGCCACUCUGGGGUUGGGAUCGGGGGUUCAUGGCGCAAUCACGCGGCGGCGGUGAUGCGCUCGCGGUCCAGCAGGUACGUGUGCGACGAGGUGCACUGCGGGCAAGGCAUAGCAAGCACAAGAUCACAUGACGACAGGACUCCCCCCCCGAAAGCGCGCGGGGCGGGCGCGCACAAAAGCCCCUUUAAGUCCAGCUUCAUAUCUUGUCAACAGUGCUUCACACACAGUGGAUCCAGUUUCAAUGUACCGAUACGUCACGCGUAGCCAGCUACUUAGAGCCCAAACACCGGCUCACCAUCUCUAGCUCCGGGACAUCGUCCACCGGCACUAGCAGGUCCCGCACUGAGAAAUGCAUGCUGCUGUCAAAGCGCCAGCAUCUGUAAAGCAGCGAGCGCUUGGCGCGACCGCUGGAGCUUAUGGAGCCUGCGGGCGACGGCCUUGCGCUGUGGUCCAUCGCGUGGACGAGGCCGGGGAAGAGGAAGCUGCCAUCAUCGGCAUCCUCCGACUGCGGGGGUGGAAGAGUUGGGCCUUUUGUGAAGCAGGAGCCCGUUGUGAACUCGCAACGGGGCCGCACCGCAGAUGCAGCGGAAAGUGCCAAGUCCCAACGGUCGAAUGACUGCAUUCUCGGCCACACCAAAUCCCGAGCCGCCAGCACCCUUAAAACAAUGUCUAAACUCUCGGCUCUAAACUCAUCGCUGUCCCGGAGUGUCAACAAUGUGUAUGGAGCGUCACGUUUGGACCCGCGUGUGCGACUGCCCCGCUCCCUUCAUUCAGCUCACAUUCAUAUGAAGGUCAGACAUUGCAGUGCCUGAUGCCAAAGUGGAAGGCCAACUCAGUUCGGGCGCUUGCAAGAAGGAGUACCUUGCGUUGCGUCAGUGCAGAAUUGCCGAUUCGUAAUAGUGAGCGCUAGGCAAGUUUUAAUACGCAGUUGUGUUAGCAAUGCUCGUGUAUGGAGUGUAAUGUCCAAAGCAAAGUGUCGGGGGGGCUGCUCGGCCCGCGUCGGCAUUGAUGCAGUCGAGACUCGCCCCAUCGCAAGCAGCUGCGCAGCUCAAAUACACGUCUUAGAUAUGGCGCUAUACAGUGUUACUAUGUACAGUAAAAUCUGGCCAGAAGACGUCGAGCUAACGGGAUUACGGGAACAACACGAAAUCGCCUGACAGUUGCGGCCAAUCGGCCCCGUUGGCUUUCCCUUUUUGACGAAAUUAGGAAAGGCUGCUGAAAGCUUGUCAACCAUUCAGGGUGGGGGUUUCAACGGUCGCGCCUCGUUAUAUGUGGCGAAGCGUGGCAAAGCGUGCCUUGAUCCCAGCACUUCCCAGCUUUGAGAUGACUCCCUGCUCGACCUGAAUGACCUGGUAGUCUUGUAAGCAGUCAACAAGCGCCCCCGUCUCCCCCGUGGAACUGUUCCUUGAAGAAGUUGAUUCUUGAGGGGACCAGGGGCACCGAUGGGGAUAAACUGGGCACGCCUGUUGGAGAGAGUGCGAGGCGAUAGGAUAGCACGGGAUAGCCGACCGCAGCAACGCGCGGGCCCACACAAACGCAGAGACAAUUUGUAGGCAGUUUGUAACUCCAGUGGAAGCCGAUAUAGUGGACAGUUUGCAAGCAAUGUUGUUGAGCGUGCAGGUGAAAGGGGACGUGGCCAGGGGCAGGGGUUACAGCCGCGCGGCAUGGCGUGGCGCCAUCGAGCACAACAUUCCCGCAAUUCUUUGCAUACUUGCCCAUUUUGCGGCGGGGGCACAACGGACAAGUAAAUAUAAAAUGUAGAGUGCAGAGGACGAAACAUCGGUGAAACAUCGUGCAUCGGCUUCUUUUACACUGCGCCUGGCGAUAGAUCAUUUGCAGUCUACGUAUGUCAGUUCUGCAACGCCUAUACUCGCGCGUAGAGCACUCUUGUUGCCCACAUGACUGCGCCAAGCGCAGGGUCACCUUCGGCCACAGCCCACGGCAACAACUGCGAGGAGGUCGCCGACCCCUCGCGCGUGUGGCUCCCGGACAUCGUCUCCCGCAUCGCUGACUUCCUCGCCCCCAACGAGGUUGCUGCCACUCUCCGGCUAGUGUGCAAAGCGACUGCCUCUUUCAAACCCGCGCCUGUUGAUGCCACGACCGGCGUCCCCGCAAGGCGCCAACAAUUGAGGCCUCGUGCCGCCAACACAAUUCGUCUGUCAGAGCCCGUGCCGCGCCAUGCCUUCCACUCUCGCUGGAUCGCAAGCGGCGGCCUGCAUCGCCUAAGCCUGAGGCAGCGACAGCGGCUGCUGGCUCUAACCGCCGCCAGCGGCGACCUCACGAACCUCAGGGCGGCGGCCGCCGCUGCCGCCUGCAGCAUAGGCUCAGAGGUCGCUGUAGCAGCGGCGGCGGCUGGCCGGCUGCACGUGCUGCGCUGGCUGCAGCGGCGGGGCGUGGGCAUGGCGGGCUGGCAGGUGCUGGCGGCGGCGGCAGGUUCGGGGCGGCGGGAGGUGUUUCUGUGGCUGGUCGGGCGGCAGCGCGCCGCGGGUGGUGGUGAGGGAGCAGCCGUGGGCAGUGGGGCGGGCGGCGAGGAGGCGACUGGGCGCGGCAGCGACGGCGAGUUGGACGGCGAGGAGCUGUGUGCCGGCGCGGAGUCAGGCGAGGGAGAGGGUGAUGACGAUGAUGAGGGCUCGAAGGGCAGUGCCGGCGGCCGUGCGAUUCGGGCGAUUCGGGACCGGAGCUGCAGCCGAGGCGAGGCGCAUCCAUGGAGCUAUGAGGCGGUGGCGGUGGCGGCGGCGCGGGCGGGGCAGGCCGACAUGCUUCCAUGGCUGGCGGGGCUGUGGCGGGCGCAAUGGCGCGAGCGGGAGCAGCAGCCGGCCCUCAUUGGCCGCAACCGGGUGGUGGAUGUGAUGGAGGCUGUAGCAGAGGGCUGCAGCGCCGACACGUUCGUACGGCUGUACGACGAAUGGGUGGGGCCGGGGCGGGAGGAGGCGGGCGGCGACGGUGAUGGUGGAGGUGGUGGAGGUGGCGGUGGCGGUGGCGACGGCGGUGACGCAGGGGAGGGCCGGCGGGCGCGCCGGCCGGUGCUUCGCCCCUGGGAGGCGGCGCAGGUGGUGGCUGCUGCUGCGGGCAGCCCCCUGCCCUGCUGGGAAGCCAAGCUGGUGUUCCUGGCGGAUGUCGGCUACAGCCUCAGUGCCGCCGCCGGCGGCCGCGCUACAGCCCGCCCCGACUGGCGGCGGCGGCUGGAUUGGCUCGAGGGGGCGGCAGCAGCAGCCGCAGGAGUACCUCCGCCGCUGCCGCCGCCAGGGGCUGCGGCUGCAGCCGGACUGGGCUUUGGCCCGGCGGCGGUGCCAGCGGUGCAGGCGGUUGCGCCGCCGCCGCUGCCAUUACCGCCACUGGAUGCAGAGCUGGCGCGUGCGGCGGCGUGUGUGGGUAACGCUGAGGCGGUGCGCUACGUGUGCGUGGAGCGGGGCGCGCGGUUGAGCCUGGCGCAGUCGCGGCGGGCGGUGGCGAACGCGGUGGAGGGCUGUCACUUGGAGUGUCUGGAGGUGAGAGGGGGACACAGGCCGUGUUGCUGAGUAACAACUAAAUGAACAGGACGAGGCCCGCUCCUUGUACCGUCCGUGCAAUCAGAAGAUCUACAGACUCAGUUCCCUCGCCACGCCCCCCACACACCACCUCCCAGGCGCUGCGGGAGCAUUGGGACGACGGCAGCCGCGGCUGGCUACUGCUGAAGGCAGUGGAGGCGGAGGCGCUGCCGGUGCUGACGUGGAUGGAGGGGCAGCUGGGCGCCGCGGCUGUAGCAGCCGCCGUGCGCGGAGCCAGCGCCGGCGGCGGCAGCGCCAGCGAACUGCUGGCGGCGGCCGUGACGGCAGACUUGCUCUGGGUGGAUGGGGGCUGUAGCAGCAGCGGCGCAAGGGGAGGAGGAGGAGGAGGAGGAGGAGGAAGGGGGACCGGCGGCUGCAGCUCGGAGGUCGCACUGCUGGAGUGGCUCAAGGCCCACUGCGGCGGCUUGCACGGCGGCGGCCGUAGCAGCAGCAACGGCGGCGGCGAAAGCAGUAGCAGCAGCUGCAGCAACAAUACCCCUGAUGAUACAACUUCUGGCGCAGCGGAGGCUGCGGCGACGGCACUUGAGGAGGCGGCGGCGGCGGCCGUUGGCAGGGGUGAUGCUGCUGCAAUGGACGCGGAAGCCCAGUUUGGAAUCUUCGUGGCGGCGGCGGCGGCGGGCAACGGCGCGGCGUUGGAGUGGCUGGCAGCUGAGGGAUGCCACAUGGGGGUGAGUGGCACGUCGCAGCGCGGGUAUGGCGGUUUCGGGAGGGGACCGCGAGGAGCCGUUUGGGUUCGGAGAGUAUCGUGCGUGAGGGUGCAUCUGGGCUAACCCAGUCGUUAUAAGUGAGGAGCACCAGGGAAAGGUGCGGGAGCACUCGGUGUGUGGGUAUCGGCGCAUCCUCACACCCGCGCAGGCUAUCACACCGCAACCGCACGCACCAGGUUCUUGAACCACGACCCUCACUUGUGCCCUGCCCCCACGCCUUUGGUCACUCCCCCCUCCUCCCUCCCCCGCCUCCUCCCGCCCACGGUGGACUUUCUGGUGAUGAUGGGACUUUUUCGUUGGGCCCGGGCACAUAACCUCUCCCCCCCCACACCCCCGCGCCGCCAGAGCUGCGGCCUGCCGUACGCACGUGCUGCCCACAACGGCGACAUGGGCACGUGUGCCACCCUGCGCCGCCUGGGCUGCCCCUGGGCCCCCGGCGGGGCCACCUUCCGGGCCGCGGUGUACGACGGCCGCGGGCACUGCGGGGCGCUGCCGGCGCUGCAGUGGCUGCGGAGGGAGGGGUGUCCGGUGGACUGGGGCACGGCGCUGGCGGCGGCAGAUGACGCGGGCGAGGACGCCUGUCCGCAUGUGCGGCGGUGGCUGGAGGCGGCGCGGCGGAGGGGCGCGGCGUGACGAGCGGCGGUGUGGGGGUCGGGGGGCUCGUGAGGUGGCUGGAUACGGGCCCCGGGUUGCUGCUGCUACAGCACUGCUGUGCCGCUGCAGUUCAUGUCGGGUGAUACGUGGGUUGGGGGUUGGGGCUCGCUCUUGGUGUGCCCGGCAGUGCGACACAGAGCAUGCUGGCUCGCUCUGAACUGUACUGAUUGAGCAGUGUUUGUGGCGCGGCUUUGUAAAGUUUUGGUGUACUGAGGUGGAUGGAGAAGCUAUCGAGCUCUCGGAGCCUGUAUUGCCUGUAUGGCAGCGUUGCGCGGGUCUUUCAUGUGUGGGCCCCCACCUGCUGCCCUGCCCGCGUGGCUGACUCUUGGACCAAUAUGGGAUGAUUUCGUGCUGUGACGCAAACUACCGGUAUACGGUACGAACUGCGUCGCUCAUGACUGCUGUGUUAUGAAUGGGGCGAGUGUCAAGCCCCGCCUGUACAAGGACACGUUCGGCGGUCAUGUAUAGGCACUGGCAGGUAGGCAUCCGGCAGCGGGUGUUCAAGCAAACUAGCUAGCGACAAGCGUCCCUGCCUGCUGUGGCGUCGUUUGGCUUGAUUCUGUGACGAGACUUACCGCGCUGUUUACGUACGGCGUUGCGUGCUGUAACGCGCUGCAACAGGCCACAAAUCGUGCCACAAACGCUGGCCGACCGGAGGGUAGUGGGAAUGUUUGCCGACCCGGUCAAUGUGGGGGAGGGUGUUCGGUCGCCAAUCUGCCGUGUUUUGGCCAGCUGAACUCGGUCCGCCAACUUGAGCUGGCCGACUCGGCAAUCUAGCUGGCCGGGCUUGCUUUGGGUUCUGCACUGAGCUAUCCUCCUCUGUAACCAUCUUUGCGCCCCCCUGCCUCGGCCAAUCAACAUGUGAUGUGCUAAUCCACCGCCAGCAGCUCGCAGCUCACAGGCAACAGAGGCAACCACACAACCAGCAGGCUUUCAUUAUGCUUGGAGCCACCCCCGCCCCCCGCCCCUCUCCAUCUCUGCUGUCAUUCAUCCGUCCCUGGCGUGUGAUUGCUUGCAUCUUUACAACUUACAACCGGCGUACCAUAACUCCACGCCCCCAGGUCCCACGCAUGCAGCAAAGUGAACAGACACAACCACACCACCAACGUCGCUCAUGUCUACAAACAGGUCAAGGAGCUGCGAAACAUGCAGUGCCAACCUGUAGGACGUUUCCACGACCAUCAAUCUGCGCAACGAGCGACGCAUGCGCUUAUCAUUCGUCUCUCACACACACACGUAGUCCGUUGCGUGGAGCACUUGAAGCACGCAAGGUUUCCGCAAGUUUGUUAGCAGCAGCCAGCAGCGAGCCAGCGCGCUCACCCCACCAGCGACAGCGGCAUCAUCACUCUUGUCACACACACACACACACUCUGUCGCUUGUCACGCAAGCUGCGGCUUCGGGUCCCGUAGGUCCCAGCCAUGCGUUAGGCUCUCCCCACUCCGCUCUGCGUGCAUGAUGCAAGUGCCAUGACGCCCGCUGAGUGCCCCUCCUGCUAUGCUGCUACCAUGUAUGGCUAGCCAGCCUGCAGGACGUAUUCACGCCGUACCGCCGCUGGCGGUUGCCUAGCCUGGCGGCACAUGCGUUCAUGGUCGGUAUCCUGGAUGGCGAGGCGCUGGAGGCUCGGCCCGACCUGGAGACGGACCUGCAGGUGCCGCUGGUCAGCAUGGACCUGCAGACGCCGGCGUGGGGCGAGGGCGCGCCCACGAUGAAGUUGCCGCUGGAGGUGUACCGGUUCGGCGAUGAGGGCAGCCUUGUGGCGGCACCAGAGGCGGAGUGAGGAGCGGGGUGCUUGCGUGACCAGCGACGGAGCGGCAUCAUCACUCUUGUUGCAUACACGCUCCGUCGCUGGUCACGCAAGCACCCCGCUCCUCACUCCGCCUCUGGUGCCGCCACAAGGCUGCCCUCAUCGCCGAACCGGUACACCUCGAGCGGCAACUCCAUUGUGGGCGCGCCCUCGCCCCACGCCGGCGUCUGCAGGUCCAUGCUGACCAGCGGCACCUGCAGGUCCGUCUCCAGGUCGGGCCGAGCCUCCAGCGCCUCGCCGUCCAGGAUACCGACCAUGAACGCCUGUGCCACCAAACUAGACGACUACCAGCGACGGUACGGCGUGAACAUGCCGUGCAGGCUGGCGAGCUGGGUGGGCCGGAACCGGCACGCCAGCUCCAGCACAGCCAGCGACGUUGUGAGCUGCUCUCGUGCCUGGCUGAUUCCUGUUGCAGGGGUGGCGGCGAGAGUCAACUGAAGUGUGGGUUCAGAUGCAGGCGGGAUGGGGGAGUACAUGGUAGCGGCAUAGCAGGAGGGGCACUUGCGGGCGUCAUGGCACCACUUUGGACUGGGGAGAGCCUAAAGUACGGCUGGGAUCUACGGGACCCGCAGCCGCAGCUCAAUCAAACCGCCGACCUUGAUUGCAUGCUGCAUGUCCCUGGCCAACAAGCGCGAGCGGCUAACACAGACGCUCCCAUGACCCAUUCUUGUUUUAUUUAUCCCUACGCCAGCAGCUGCUGGCCUACUUCAAGGUGCCUGAACAGCCAGCAACUAGCCAGCCCGCCCCAAGCAAAACGUCUGCGUCCUCCUCCCUCCCGGGAAGCCCACCCUGCUCCCCCAUGUCUCUGCCACGUCCCCUCCAGCUCUCCCUAGCGCCUACAGGCUCCGGACGCCCUCUCCUGCAUGAGGGCACCCGGAUUGGCAGAGCCGUGUGGAGCCGUCCGCGGCCCGCACCCUGGAUCUCCCCUACAGCGUCAGCAUCGCCUGUACAUGUGCAAGGCCGCGGUGGAUGGUCGUGCUGCGUCAGGAACAGGAAAGGGCGGUCAGGACUAACGACGACAAGUGAGCAGCAAUCUUGCUGUGGUGACCAGCAUCAACCGCCGCAUGAGCAAUCCGAAGAACCAGCAAGCCGCGAUAGCAAGCGCGGUGGAUGCACUGGCGCGCGGGCAGGGCGCAAUUGCGGAGCUGCUGGUCAUACAGAACCUUCCAGCCGGCCUUCGUGGGUGCAAGCAAGCGUGCAUUACGACGGCCGCCCAGCUGGACAAGCUCAUCGGCCCAGGCACGGCCGCGGCGGUGGAACGAGAGCUCCUGAGCAGCAGCGAGCGCGCGGUGGUUCCUGGUACUGCGCGCACUGCUGCAGGCCGCGGCACUCGAGCGGGACCGCGUGUCCAAAGCUUUCGAGGAGCUGCCGCCGCAGCAGUGCGUGCAAGGCCAGGCGGCAUCGCUCGGUACUGCCCAGCAGCUCUCGUUCCACCGCCGCGGCCGUGCCUGGGCCGACGAGCUUGUCCAGCUGGGCGGCCGUCGAAAGCCGCGCUCGUUGCACCCACGAAGGCCGGCUGGAAGGUUUUGGAUGACCAGCAGCUCCGCAAUUGCGCCCUGCCCGCGCGCCAGUGCCCCCAUCUCGCUUUCCCGCUUUCCAGUUUGCCCAUGCUGCGGUUGAUGCUGGUCACCGCAGCAAGAAUCCUGUCAAACCUGUUUGAAACCUGUCGUCCAUGCUCGCCGUGUCGUCCCGGCUUUGCUCGCUUGAAGCUGCCUCCACUAUGACGUUGCGCCCUACCCGCCGAACACGGCCUUUUGCACUUGCCAUCAUGGUUAUAACUGAGCACUGUUCACCGCGGGCUGGCGUGGGCGAACACGAACACCUCAUUUAUGCGCUAUGUGCUUAUUGCAGCUGCAAUCAAAUAUACAGCUAGCAGCUACAAAGCUAUCUCCAAGUCAUUAAGGUUUGAUUGGAGAGCGGGCCGUGCUCCGCUGAGCAGUGCGGAUGGUUGCACGGGUUUGUCACGCAAAGGGGCCCAAUCCCAUCCAUACCAUAGAAGUAUACGAUAAAACUGGCCCAUCUUCGCGGGCAGGGCUCUCUGGCCCUCCUGCUGGGCAAGCAGGUCGGGUCCGGGCCGAAGAAACGAAAGCAGUCUACCGAUACCAAGCCCGAUGAUGAUAAAUCUCACGAGAAAUUGGCGAAGCGGUCUCGACCACCUGAAGGUAAACUGCUCAAGUUCUCCGGACCGGAAGCCCGGCGCAGCAGGCGCAGCACUUCCGAAGCGCGGGAACGCGCAAACUCACCCUGGCUCACUGCUCGCACAUCCAUGUCAUAAUAGGUCACCAUAAUGCAGAUGCCGGGUACCGGGGGAGCUCUGAUAGCGCAGCUGCGCGGAGCGCCGCGCCCCCCACGGCUCGCCGGCCAUCGGUUGCGGUAGCGGCCAGGCCGCCCCGGGCGCCGGGCAGCAGAGCCCCAGGCCGCUCUGCCGCUGGCGCUGGCGCCACUGGCUCCACGUCGGGCGCUCCUCGGGCGCCAGCGGCAGCGGCUGUGCCUGCCCAGAUACCGCCCCUGGCGCCAGUGCCGCCGCCCCCUGGCCAAGGCUGGCGACACCUGGAGGCCGCGGUCGUGGCACUGGAUGUGAAGCGGGUCAAGCAAGGAGCAGCCGGCGUGAUGGAGGCCGCGGCGGCGGCAGUGGUGGCGGCGGCUGUAGGCACGGCAGUGGCUGUGGAGGCGGCGCCUGUGGAGGCAUGCUGUGGGCCAGCAGGUACGGUGGCAACGGCGCCGAGGGCGGCGGCCCCUGCCAAUGCUGGCGGCGCGGUUUUGGAAGCUGCUACUGAGCUGGCUACUGGUGAUGCUCGUACUCCUGCUGGAAUUGCGCCGCGGCCCAGCUACUGCUUUCGCUACUGCUUCCGGUGCGAGCCGACCAACCCCUACGACGUCAAUGCAGUGCAGGUGUGUGUUGGAACCGGGUGCUGACUGGUGCCCGCUUUCGGGUCUCGUUCUUUAGCAAGUUCUGGUCCUUUUGCGCCGUGGUGCCCACUGCCCAGGUGUGGUGGAUGCGUGGGGAGCGACAUGAGGCUGACGCACAGGCGGCAGCGGCGGCGGAGCCGGCGCCGGGGGGUGAUGCGCUGCCGGGGGUGCAGACAAGGGACGCGUUGGCGGAGGCCCCCGUGAGUGCGGAGGUGCUGGUGGGCUACCUGCCUCGUGAGGUGGCUCAGCACUUGGCGCCACUGCUGCGGGCCGGGGCCGUGGAGGUGGCGGCAGGGGCGGCGGGGCUGCAGGUCGACUGGGCGGGGCUGGGCCGAGCUCGCAGCGGCGGCCGAGCGGCGCCGCUGCACGCGUACCUGCGGCCUCGGCAGCGGUGGCGGCGUGAGGGAGUCGGCGGCAAUGGCCGCGUCGGCUGCGAUAGGUCGGGCGUUGGCUGUAGCAAUGGAAAGGUUGACUGUGGCAGCAGUGGCGGGUGUCAGGAUGAGCCACAAGUAGCGGUGCCGGGAGCAGCAGCAGUGCACCAAUCAGCUGCGUCGUACGGAGCAGUCCAGGACGAGGGCGAGGAGGACGAGGAGGGCGAGGGCGGGGACAGCGACGGCGAAGUGGGUCGGGCGCUAGAUGCGGCGCUGGCGGGCGCUGCGGCGUGGCGCUGCCAGCUGCGGCGCGGCGGGCCCGGCGGCAGCAACAGCAGCGGCAGCGAGGGCGGCGCCGGUGCCGGUGCUGCCGCAGCCGCCGGCGAUGGCGGGCCCGUCGAGGGCGGGUCUGGGCCGGAGGCGGGGCCGGGCUGGGGCUCGGGCGCAGAGGCGGCGCCGGGCGAGGUGCUGCGACGCAACUUCGCAAUGAUGGCGGCCGACGUGCAGUGAGUGCAGGCCGUAUUAGUGGGUGGGGAAGUGCCCUGGAAUCGAAUCGGGUGCAACACAGUGGUGGGACCCAAACACGCAGCCUUUACCCUCACAGCGCCAUAACCCGUCCUUCCCCUCCUGGACUGGAUUUUGCACAUGCUGGGCCCCAUUCCCUUUUUCACAAUGACGCUCUGUCUGAUCCAGGUCUUCCCUACCCUUCGCGCUGCGUCUCCCGACUUCUCCAUAGCUCUCAACCCCCUUGUUCGCCUGCCGCUGCCGUCUCCACAGGCGCUACGACGGCCAUUUGCUGUGCGGCGAGGAGCAGGAGCUCCUGGGGCGGCUGCUGGCCCUGCCGCCGCCGCCGCAGUGUCUCUUCCUACGGCUGUUGCUGCGCCGCGGGCCCUGGUUCGCGGUGCGCGACAUACAAUACCCCGAGUGCGGCGGCGGUGGGGGCGGUGGCGGGACAGAGGCAGAGGCAGCGGAGGCAGGGGCAGGGGCAGGGGCAGGGGCGUCAGCUGGAGGCGGGGCAGGAGCAGCAGCAGCUGAAAAGCCGUGGACUGUGGACGCGGCGGCGGAGGCGUUGGUGGCGGCAGGGCUGGCAGAGCGGCCGCAGCCACACGACUGGCCGCAGGUGGGUGCGUGUGCGUGUUAGUUGGUGGCACAAACAUGUGAAAGAGCAAACCACAAAGGAAGUACUAUAGGUCUUCUGCCCCCUCUGACUGAACCUGUUGCAUCUCAAAACCAAAGCCCGCCACGUUCUCACACGCCACAGCUGGCGCAGCAGCUGCUGGUGGUGGCGGACGUGCGUGCGCUGAUGCUGACCUGUGCGGCGGCAGGUGGCGGUGACAGCAGCAGGCGAAGCAGUGGUGGCGGCGCCGUUGCUGCGGUGUCAACCCCAGUGCCGCCGCACACACUGCCUCAACGGGGCUCCAUCCUGGCUUUCGCCACGCGGCGGCGGACGGCAGGUGGUGGUGGCGCUGGCGUUAAUGGCACCAACGGUGGCGGUAAUUGGGGUGCUGCAGUCAAAGCAGAGGAAGGCGACGUGUUGCUGUCACCGCCUUCCGCUCCUGGCACCGCCAGCGGAAGUAGGAACCCCUACCUCCCAACUCACAAGCCGCAGCCGCAGCAGGGCCAGCAGCCAAACCAGCAGUCGUUUGCGGGUGGUGCAAUGCCCUAUGCAGGUCCCAGAGCUGAGGGGUACAGGGGCUCAGCGGGCAGCAGGCGCAGCAUGGGUGGCAGAGGGGGCGCCAGCAGUCAACGAGUUGGCAGCGACGGCGAAGGAGCAAGUGGAGGCGGUGGUGAGGGUGGCAGCGGGGUCCGCAGCAGCAGCGGCGCAGCAAGGCACUGGAGUGCGCCGAGCCGCGGCGGCACAUCCACUGGGGGCGGCGUCGCAGCUGCUACUGCUGGAGGCGGCGGCGGAGGAGGAGGAGGCAGUAGCAAGGCGGCGGUCAUUGCGACACUGCGGCAGCGCUACGCGAAUGACGACGACAUGAGCCGGCGGGUAAGGCCGUGCGUUUCUCCUCCCCCGGCUGCCUUCAAUUCCUGCCUGGAUCAGGUCUGGGCCCACGCCCUGCAGGUGUCAACCACCGCAUGUGCCCCCUCCCACGCACACGCGUGCACUCCCCUCAGGUGUCUUCCCUGACCGGCCCCUGCCUGCGCCUGGCCCCCGCCGCGCUGCUGCUGGUGUCGCGGCUGCAGCGGCUGUACUUUCUGGCGGAGGGGCCCGCGGCGGACCUGGGCAGGUGGGGCGAGGGGGGUGAGGGGGAUAGCCGCCCGUGCAGAAGGCAGGGGAGUCCACUGCGACCCCAAGGCCCACUGUGCGCUGCCCUGCAAACUGCAGUGUUCAGUACCGAUGCCAUAUGCCACCGCUUGUCCAGACGCUCCUCUCGUCCCUCCCAUAUAAACCCCACCGUCGACCAUUUCCUUAACAAAUCCUGAAUGUAUAACCCCCCUGUCUACUUCGCUACCCUUCUCUGUACCGAUCUUUGAACGCACACACACACCCCGCCGCCGCACACUCGCACACCCGCCCCUCGCAGGUUCCUGGCCGCCGACCGCGGAGUGAUCCGCUACCCGGCCUACACGGUGCGCCGCAGCGGCUCGGCCUUUGGCAGCAGGCAGCAGCUGCUGGACUACGAGGCAGCGCUGAGGGCGGCGGCAGAGGUGUGCGCUGAGGAGUGAGGGGGGCCGGAGGCCGGGGCCCGGGGCCCGGGGGCAGGGGACAGGGGGCGCGUUCGGGGGCGUGCACGGCAAAAGCGUGAGCACUGUAAUCUCAUGAAUUAGGCACAAACCUGCACCCGCACCCCACAUGUCGCUGCCUGCUGUCCCAACCAUCUGCAGCUGGACGCGGCGCUGGAGGCGGGGGAUGAGGCGGCGGCGGAGAGGGCGCUGGAGCUCGCACUGGCGGCGGUGCGGGCGGGUGCACACCGGCAGGUGGGUGGACCGUGGGCAACACACCUUGUGCAGUGGGCAGGUGCCUGGGCCUGGGAUCCAUGCAGCCUGGGCUCUUGGCAGGUGCAAAGCCACGUGCACAGAGGGAUUGGUGCAGGAACGGCCUUUGCUCUUAUGCCGUAAGUGGCUAGGAACUUGGGAAGCCAGCGUGGGGCCUUCAACCGUAGCCGGCGCGCCCCCUCCGUGUGGUUCCCACAGGUGCAUUGGUGUGGAGACGCCACCAUACCCGUACGCGCCGUGCCUGGCCCCUGGCCCUGGCUGGCUGCCCACGAGCACGGCGGGGCGGAGGCCGCCGCCGCCGCCGCUGAUGUCGGCCUUUGCGCGGGAGCCGCUGGCGCCGCCAGUGCCACUGCUGCUGCUGUCGCCGCAGUGGCGGCGGCGGGAGCGGCCAGCAGGGGCUCAGCUGGCGGCGCCGCCGGCACAGCGCCGCGGCAUGCGGAGUCGCCGCAGCGCCACCGGCGCGCCAGCUGUGCAGGCGGGGUCGGCGGUGCUGGCGUCGGUGCUGGCGGCGGCUCGCGGGCUGAGGCGAUGGACCUCACCUUCAGCAGUAGCGACAGCAGCGAAGAAGGCAAGGAUGACACCGAUGAUGAGGCUGGCAGAGACGGCGAUAGCGAUGACCUUAUGCUUGGGGAAGCAGGGUCGGGGGCAGAGGCGCAGUGCACGGCAACCGGUGGGCUCCCAGCAGCAGUUGGCUUCAAGCAGGAGGUCGAGGGGGCCGAGGCGGAGGAUGCCAGGCUAGGGAGCGACUUCGGAUUCGUCACUGACGCAGGCGGCGCCGCGGGUGCGACCGCGGGCGCAGCGGGCAGCCCAGGGCCGCAGCAGGAGCAGGAGGAGGUGGAUGCGGAGGAGGGCUGGGGCCUGGACCCGCCUGCAGAUGUGCAUGCGGACGACGGCCUGUGGGGCACGGAGCCGGAGCUGGAGGCACAUCCGGAGCAAGGACUGGAGGCAGAGCCGGAGCCGGACCUGGAGCAGAGUCCAGGGUUGGGAACAGGAGGUCGCAGCGACGGCAACGGCCCAGGCGCCGAUGGGGAGACGGAGGCGGGUGAUAUCGACAUUGCCUACGGCGACGAGGAGGAGCACAUGGCUGGCUUGGGCCACAGCGGGGACUGCGCGGGCGAUGUGGCUGGGCUGGGCGGUGACAGUGGCGGGGAAGCGGCUGCACGCGGCGGCAGUGCACCCGCCGCGGCCGCCGCCUUGCCAGCUGCCGAUGCUGCCACUGACACGCCAGCGGCCGUGCAGCCCGCCGCUGAUCCUCCUCAGUCCGCCACCGGUGUCACCGCCAACGCCGCGGCCACCGCGGACGCGCCGCCCGCGCCGCCUCAGCAGUUCCUGGCGCGCUUCUGUGCGGCGUGGGUUUACGCCAGCAUGGGCACCGUAGGUGAGCGGGGCCGCAGCAUGGGUAAAUGGGUGUCUGUCUUGGGGGCACGGCUUGGGAUGGCGCGGCUGCGUGUCGGGGGGCGGGCUAGUUGGACAUAGGCGGGCUAGCUACGGGGCCUCCGAAUGUAGCCAGCCAUCCGAUUUAUUUUUGAGCCCUCUUCCCAACCAACCCUGUACACCCCCUCCCCUCCCCGCGCAGCCGUAUCGCUGCUGGAGCGACAGCGGCGCUACGGCCCCGCCGCCUGCCUGCUGCGGGCGCUGCUGCAGGGCCGCUGCUGCCCGGGCCGGCGCGGCGAGUGGUGGCUGCGGCUGUCCUUGGACCUGCAGCACCUGGGCCGAGAGGAGGAGAGCCUGCAGGUGGGGAGGGAAGGGAGGACUGGUGGUGGUGGGGGGGGCUACAUAAAAUGGGGUAUGUCCGUAUGUGCAUGGCGGCGAAACCGGGCACUGCCAUGCACAGUGGGGUGGUGAUUGGCGCCGUGCCCGGCACAGUGGGUACCGGGGCGGGCGCGGAAGACCAGCCAGCAGCCACGACGGCAAAGCCGGCGGCGGCCGCGGCGCAGCAGGCAAAGACGGAGGGUGAGGCGGCGAGCCCGGUGCCAGAUCGGGAUGAAAUCGUGGCGCGGCUGGCGCACCUGGAGGGUUUUCAGCUUCGGCUGCAGCAGCAGCAGCAGCAGCAGCAGCAGCAGCAGUCGGAGGCGGCGGCGACCGGCGGCGAAAGCGGUGUGGAGAAGGCACACCUGGAGCAGCUGGCGGCUUUCUUAGUUUACAAGAUGUCAGUCAUUGCCGGCCACGUCCUGCCCGCGGGGCUGCCCCAUGCGGCGGCCUACCGGGCCAUGCACCAGGUCUUCUCAUCGGAGGCCUGGGAAGGGGUCCGCUCUGUCAAGGGACUACCUCACCGGGGCUACCACGUGGCGAAACAGUCGCGCUGCCGGGAGAAACUGCAGCCGCAUAUGCGAGCUUUUUUGGGGGGGGGAGGGGGGGCAGGAGGAGGAGUGAGGGGGGCGGGGGCUACAUAAGGUGUGGUAUGUGCCCAAGCCGAAUGCAGGAGUGAGCGGCGCAGCAAUGGAGUGGGCACAGCACCAGAACACGGUUUUCGAACGGCGACACGCACACGCGCACACGCACCCACGCGCAUCAGCCGCUCCCUGGUCCCCGCUCCUCAUCUACGGUAGUAGAUCACGAUCACGCCGCGCCUCCUCCCCCUCAGGUGGCAGAGGCCUCCCUGUCCGACCCCUGGGUCCGCCACGGCGACCGCCUGGCCCUGCAGCGCCGCGUGCUGCGCCUGGGCCGCCCGCCGCGGCGCUGGAAGAAGCCGGCCUGGGCGGCGGCGGCGCUGGCGGAGCCGCGGGAGGUGGUGGUCAGCGCGCAGCUGAUCAAGGGAGCCACGGGUGCGUGGUUGCGGGUGGGGAACGGCAUGGGCGUUUUGGAAGAAGAAACGGAAGGGUUUGGGGAGUCCUGCCGACAAUGGGUGAGGUGACUGUGCGGGCUUGGCCCCAUUGGCACUCAGCCGCUGUGUAACUCACGUCCCUUUGCUGUGUCUGCCCACCUGACUGCCUGCCCCGCCGCAAGCAGGAUACAAGAGCCGCUUCAUUGCGCCCGCGGCUGAACCCGGCACUGCCGCCGCCGCCACCACCGCCCCCAGGGCGGCCUGCGGCCCGGCCGACCCGGCACAGCCGCAGGCCCCAGUGCAGUGGAAGCCGCCACACCGCUCCUCCAGCCCCAGCCCCCAGCGAGGCCUGGAGCCGCCUGUUGCGGGCGGAGCUGCCGUUGCAGCCGAUGUGAGUACAGGCGCCGCAUUGUUGCCUGCCCACCAGUCUGAGGGGCCGUGAACUGCACACGGCCGACGGAUAGCCCAUACAGCAGCCCAGUUCCCAUCCCAGAUGGCCCACUGUGCCCCGCAAGACUUUGCCUCACCCCUCCGCACACAGAUUCACACGCGCGCGCACGGUUUCCGCCCUGCUGCUGCUCCUGCCGCCGCCCCGUAUGGCUCCCCACCCCCUGCUAUCUGUUUAGCUACACUUGUCUGUACCAAUGCUUGCAACCCCCCUUCUUAGAUAAUCAUGAAUGUAUUAAUCCCCCCUUCCUUUACUAAUCAUGAAUGUAACCCCCACCCCCUCAGCCUCAGCAGCCGGUGGCCACGGUGGGCGUGGAGGACCUGGCGCUGCACCACUACGCCAGCGCGCCGGGCGGCGGCUGGCGCGGCGUGCACAGUGAGGGCGGCGUGUGGGGCUGCCUGUGGGCGCUGCUGAUGUGGGACGUGCUGUUCACGGACGUGCCCGAGGUGUUCAGGUGGGAAGUGGCGGGGGGGGGGGUUACAUUCAUGACUAGUUAAGGAAGUGGUAGACGGUAUACCAUCUUGCGGAACAUCAAGCAAGGGGGGAGGAGGUUAUAAGUACCAGCCCAAACUAAACCAAACAAAGUGAAGGUAGGGCGGUGAUGGGUGGAGGGGGGUCGGGGGUAUGCUGCUGCUGCUGGGAAGGGAGGGCCAGGGAAUUGAAAGUCAGUCGGAUAGGUGCAUCGAGAGAGGUGGGCUUGGCUCGUCGUUGCCAUUGCUGCACUUAAGCCAGUUGUCUGGUCCGCCUGCAGGCGCUGUACUCCCCGCCGUGUGCCGCCACGUAUCGCCAUGCGCCCUCAGCUACACACACACAUGCACACACAGUCGUUGCGCAAUGUUUUCCUUGUGCUCUUUAACACACACACACACAUACACAAUCACACGGACGUACCCACCUGCACCACCCCGCACCGCUCACCCUCAGGCAUCCCUUCCAGACCGCACCCCUGGACCUCGACUCAGACGCCUUCUACCCCGCGCGCCGGGCCGCAGUGGACGCCCGCUUGCAGGUGCGCCCGGUGUGUACCAGUACGUGUACGGGUGCGCGUGCGGGCGCGCGUGCGGUUGCUUGCGUGCGCGUAUACGCGCAAUGUGCAUGCUCGUGCUUGGCUGCUGGUGCAGUAUACCGCCUGGUGUGCUCAACGCUUGAGUGCGUGCUGAAUGGUUCUGACGUGCAUGCGACUAGGGUGCUGGAUGGGAAGAGCUUCGUGAUUGAUCAACAGGGUGCUGUGUGUACCUCUGUGUGUGUAUGCGCGUGUGCGUAUGUGCUGGUGAAUGUGUUUGCGGCUGCAGGCCAUCGCUGGCGGCGCCGCACCCGAGCUGCUGCGGGCUGCCUGGCGGUCCCACUGCGGCGUGUGGUGCCGCGGCGUCAACUGGGGCCGGCUUCCCCUGGAGGACCUGGUGGACAUCGCAAGGUGCGUGGGCGCGCGUGUAAACGCGCGCGUCUGCGUGUAAAUGGCUUGGGGUUACACUCAUGACCAAUCAAGCCAAAAUGAAGUUGUAGCCAGGCACAGGGGAGGGGUUGUUUCUUUCCAGUAAGCCAUCAGCAGAGUCGCAUGACCCGGUCCAUAGGGCGGAGCACUACUCAGGUUUACUGCAGUCCCAAACCCAGGCUAGCCGAAAAUCAGUAUUCGCUGGAAAAGCAGGCGGGCAGACAGUCCAAGUAGUACCAAACGAGCAAAAGCACGCAUGCUACCGUGGGUUUGUCAUCAUCAAGCGCACGGCGGCACGCUCGACUUCCUGCACCCAUGCACCUCAGCCCGGGCUGCCAAACCCGGCCCCGCCCCCGCCUUUAACUCUUCAUGCCCUGACUGCAGGUGUGUGGGCGGCCUGGGUCUGUCGGUGGUGUGCCGGCUGCUGAGUGAGGACUCGGGCGGCUGGCGCGGCGGCAUGCCCGACCUGCUGCUGUGGCGCCCGGAGCGCGGGGACGCACUGGUGUCGGAGGUCAAGGUGAGGCGGCGGCUGGCAGGAGGAUACCCCAGCCCGUGGCUGGCGCAGGUUGGCGCGGUGCAAGGAGUGGGCCCGUUGUGGUGUACGUGCGUGUGUUUUGUGUGUGGCUGCGUGUGCUUGCUUGUGCCAGGGCAUAAGACUCACCAGACAAUCAUGCUUCAAGUUAGAAAGCGCAGGGGUGUAUCAAGUGGCCCGGCGGGGGCCGUCCUCUGCCCCGCUCUCUUGCCUUGAUGCGCCGUACUUGACCGUACCUCGCUGUCCCGCACAUGCCGUAUAUGCACAGGGCCCUCGCGAUCGGCUCAGCGACCAGCAGCGUGCUUGGAUGGCAGCACUGGCGGCGGCGGAGGUGCGCGUGGAGGUGCUGCGGGUAGUGGAGGCGCCGCCGGUAGGAGCAGCUAGAGCUGCAGGCGGGAGGCGACAUUUGCCUGGGCGCGGCCGCAGCGCUGUGGCCGUGCCGGUGGCCGGAACGAGUGGGGCGGGCACAAGUGGAGGGAACGGCGCUGCAGCCACAGCGGCGGUGGGCCGCCGCGGCGGCAUGCGCAGCAGGGGAGGUAGGAGUGGUGUGGCAGCAGCUGCUGCUGGAGCGGGUGAGGCGGUUGACAUGGUUGACUUGUUAGCUAGCAGUGAUGGUGACUAAUGGGAUGGGAGCUAGUGUGAACCGUGGACCGUCCAGCGCAAUGCCUGAUCCAUGCUGUAAAACGCAUGCAUCUAUGUCGUUAUCGCCCGUGUGUCGUGUGUGCGCCACAUGUGGGCCACAGACGUCUAGCACGGGCCCGGCUGCCUGCCACUGCCUCCCUGCCUGCGCGGCUGUGCCUCCCCCUGUCCGUGGCCCUGCCCGCCCUACCUGUGCCUCGCCCUGCCUCCCUGCAUGUGCCCUCCCCUUCUCCACUGGGGCAUCCUCCGGCUGUCCGGUUGUCAUAAUCACCGCCGGGGCUCAGCCCUGGCUCAGCCCUUUUUCCAGCUGUAGAAAGCGCCCGGUGCCUCAGGGCCCCAAGUAUGUUCUGUCUCUAUGCUACAAGGACAGGAAUCGCGUGCUCACCGUGGUGGUGCCACCUGAUCGGGUUGGCCUGUUACGCUGACAGCUGGGACUGUAUCUGGUUGGCGCUGCUUGGGCCUCCCUACGACACAUACUGAUGUGCUGGGGCAUCUGUCGUGCACUCAUACUUGCGCGACGUGAUGGCGCAGCUGUAUUUGGCAGCACAACUGUAGCAUUAUGCAUAUGACCGCCAAUGUCGCCUAAAUGCUGCCGGAGGCCGACCGAGUUAUAUCGCGGUUGCCGGCUUGUCCGUGUGACAGGAGGGGAGGGGGUGCGCGGGCGUGCCCGAAUGCUCCUUGUUAUUGAUGCAUUCUUGUAUUAAACGCAAUGAGAUUUUUCCUCCGAUAUACAUGUCACAUUCAAAAUCGCGCUUUGGAAAUCGACCCCGCAUGUAGGGGUCGCUCGAGGCCGAGUCGGACAGCAACAGUCUUGUGUCCAAAGGAGGUAGAGGAAGUGCUUCCAAUAACCAUAGUAACGCAAUCGACAGAACGACAACUGCGGCACGCUACUGCCACGGCCUGCGUCGAUCGAUUGCUCACAUACAAACAGCUUUGACAGAGCACGCCGGUUAACCAUAUUCCUUCAUGUCUCCAUUACUUGAAAUGUCUGGUGCGUGAGUUAAGAGCUCAAGUCGACCCGCCAAGGUCGCUUGCAGUGGAGCGACCAGCAUGAGGACAACCUACCAACACACGCGGCGGCAGCCACACCCCUCGCAGCACCGUUCGAUUGUUUGGACGCUUCUGGCAUAUCUACCGCAGGUGCGCGCCGCGCACGCCAGCCCUCGCUGCUAGCGGUCAUAUCACCGGCCUAGCCCACGCACCUUGGGGACACGACACCUUGGCCUGCCUGCUCAGUCGUCUCGAGGAUCGGGGAACUGCGUCUAUCAGGGCUUUGAUGCAAUUUGGUUGGGCUUGGUCAGGAGAUCUCGACCCUUGGCAGGCAUAAGUGCACCAGGAACCAUGGCUGGCGGUCGUGUCAGACAGGUCUUUGCACGGGCACGCGUGAUGUGUAGCGCCUGGCAACAGCCGCUGCCUGCCCAGGAGCCGAGGCGCCCCUUACCAUGGCGCCUUUAUGUUUUAUCCCAGAGGCCCCAUCACGAUCAAUUUCAUCUUCGCGGAACAGCUACUGCCACCCUCACCACUGGCCCGUCUUUCCGGCCCGGACAUGCUUUCCCUCACCUGCCUGCAGGCGCUCAUCGUUUCAGCGCUCUGCUUCAUCGCGGUGUAUGCGGGCUGGGCGCUGCAAACCAUCAGCGUGCACGGCGGGGAUAGUGGUGCGGUAGUGAAGACAUCAGGAUCAGCGGUGGGGGCGGCCUCGCCCGCGGUCCGCAUCCUGCGGACAGCAGACCCGUCGCCGUCGCCACGCGCGACACGGAAGGUUAGCAAGCCGCCGGCACCAGGGCCGCCCAUCCUCAACAGCCCACCACCGCCCUCGCUGCCGCCGCCCUCGCCACCUCCGCCCAAGGAGUCCCCACCUCCGCCCUCGCCACCCCCGCCCUCACCUCCUCCUCCCUCGCCCGCACCACCCUCGCCUCCUCCACCCUCGCCACCGCCUCCCUCACCGCAGCCGCCUGCCUCCCCGGCCAAGCAGGUAGAGGACAAACCGGCGGUUAUGUCCACGGAAGCAAAGAAGCAGACCGGCACGGUCGCGGGCUCGGACAAGGGUCCAGAGGACGAGCCGUAUGAUGACAAGGUGCCGAAGGACGCGGAUGCGGAGUAUGACAAUGAUGCUGACAAGCCCAAGCAGGAAAGCAGCAGUAGCAGUAGCAGUAGCAAGAAGAAGGAGGACGGCAAGCUGGAGGCCGCUGCUGCGGGCGGCAGUGGCGCCGUGGCUCGCGAGCUGCUGCCGACCUCGGUGUCGGGCCGCACCGGCCGCAGCAGCGGCGCGCAGCUGACUCGGCCGUCCCCAGGCGGCACCCUGUUCAGCUGGGGGCUCAAGGAGUGGCGCCUGGGGCGGAACAAGGGUGGGUGAGGCGUGUGGGUGCGGCUUCUGGGUGGGUAAGGCAAACGAGUUGGAUGGGCGUGCGCGCGGGCAGAUGGGGUGCAUUGGGUGGGCGGAUGCAUCGUGUAAGGAACCAGAGGUCCAGAAGUGCAUGCUCGUUACGCAUCGGCUUUUGGGGUUGCGAAGGGAAGGCAGCACCGCUGCAGGGCCGGAACACACACGCGCCUCCGGCUGCCGCCUGCCUGGACAGGCGACAACGCCAUCCCGGAGCCGGCCCUGAAGGACCUGACGGUCAUCAGUGUGGCCGCCUCGCGCCACUCCGCCAUCGUGUCGGGCGAAGGCGUGGUGUGGACCAUGGGGCACAACGACUCCAGGUGCGGUGUUGGGGGCGGCGGCGCGGCAUGGAUGGUAGAAGGGGUUGUGUAUACCAGCCCAAACUGAACCGAACCCAAUACUAAAGCGGGCGUUGGAGACAGAGCAAAAGGGGAGAGGCCGAGGCGAUAGCGAGGUGGGCGGGUGGUCGGAUGAGCGCCUCAAAAGCGGAUGGCUGUGCACACACCCUGACCCUGUCAUACACAGGGGCGGCGGCGGCCACGGCAGCCCGCCGCUGGACGCCUCGGGGCAGCUGGGCCGCGGCGGCAACACGCAGCCGGGGCCGGUGGGCGGUCCGCUGCAGGGCAAAUUCGCGGUGCAGGUAGGUGCGGGCAGAGGGGCGUGACGGAGGUGUGCAUUGGGAGGGGGUUCCCGGAAAGGUGGAGGUAGAGCGGCAGGGGUGCGCUCGUGAGAAGAGGCACCCAUGAUUGCACGGGAGGCUGGACAAUGCAUGGAGCAAUGGCCAGGGAAAAGGGACGGCGGUUUGUAGUUGGCCAUGCGCUGGAAACGCGCGCAUGCACCCAGCAUGCCGCCCCCUACGCCCCUUACCCAUCCGCAUUCCCACAUGCAACACACGGCAUCCAGCGCCCCGGGCCCUUGCCUUCAUGGCGAUCGGCCCCGACCUUCGUGAGUCGUGACCUUCACCUCCCUCACCUCUUCAUGCUGCAGGCCAUCGUGGGUCGCUACCACACCAUGGCGGUGACUGAGGACGGCGAGCUGUGGAGCUGGGGCCUCAACGACUGGGGGCAGCUGGGCCGGGCGGCGCAGGGCGCGGCCAGCGAGGACGACCCCAGCCCCUGCAACUCGGGACCCAGCUGCCACUCCGGCAUGUGAGCAGAGCUGCUGGGGAAUCGGGAGAGGAGGGGGAGCCGUGGACGGGGGUGAGCAGGUACCCGCCAGGAGAGGGCCUAGCACUGGAUGCUGUGGCUGCUGCGUGCGCUGGCCAGCACGUUGGGCCCACUUGCGUUCAGACCUUCUGUAUAUGCGCCCGGGGGUGGACCUCGCAGAGGCGCUCAGACUCUCCACCUAUCUGCCUCCUCGCGUCCUUCGUUCCUACCCGCUCGGUUUGACUGUGUUUGCCCGCAGCCCAAACAAGGUGGAGUUUCCGGCUGGCGUAAAGAUCCGUGGCGCCGCCGCCGGCCGCUACGUGUCCAUGGCGGUGGACGACGACGGGGUGUUGUACACGUGGGGCCACGACGGCUGCAGCAACGGCGGCAAGCUGCCGGCGCAGGCGGAGGCGUGGCGACCGCGCAAGGUGGAGGGCGAGCUGGCGGGUGAGAAGGGGGGAGGGAGGGAAAGGGAAGGGAAGAGAGGAAGGGAGGGUUGUUGAUACCAACCCAAACCAAAGCGAACCCAAUCCAAAAGAGCGAGGAAGGGACGAGAAGUGAAAAGGCGCGCGCUCUGCCAACACGUCCACCCAAACCUGCACCCACACCUGCCCCCCCAACACACCUGCACCUGCAACAGGCAAGCGAGUGGUGGCGUUUGACGCCGGCUAUGUCUUCUGGCUGGCUGCCACCGAGGACGGAGCCGUGUACACCUGCAACUCGCAGGUAGGGGCGGGCGGGAGGUGGGGGGUGCCGGGUGGAGGUGCUGGAAGAAGGGAAGGAACGGUGGAGGUAGAGGCAUGAGGUAGAGGCUUAUUCAGCGCGGGGCCGUAAGGGGCGGGCGCGUCUUGGCAGGUCAGCAUUGAACGCAACCGAGCGCAAUGGGAGACUUGCGGCGCUGCGGCUACACUCUGGCUUGUCGUGCUGCGCGGCGCCCCUUUCCGCUCCUCGCCUCCAACUCAUCGCCGGCACCCCUUCCCUGGACUUCACGGACAUCGGCAACAACGCGCCUUCUGAACUACUGUUCAUGGCUACGCCUCCCAUUCUUCAACAAUCGUAAAUGUAACCCUCCCCUCAGGACGACGGCUACGCGGGCACGCUGUCCAACAAGCACCAGCCCAACAACGCGGGCGAGCUGGGCCGCGAGGGCGACCCGCUGGUGCCUGGCCGCGUGGGGGGCGUGCUGGCCGGACACAAGGUGCGUGCGUGCGGGCGGGGCGGGCGGGUGCAGGCGGGCGGGUGCGGGUGGGCGGGAGCUAGGGCGGAGGCAGGUGGCGGUGAGCGCCGGAGGGCCACGGGAUGCAACCCCGUGUGUUCUGGAAGGUAGUUACGGUACGCCGGCAACAUUCGGGAGCAAAUGGUGCAAUGUGAGGCAGCUCCACCGGCGGCCGCUGCUGUUCGCUGCUUGCACCGCCCCGAGUCACCUUCCUGCCAUCCGCGCCCGACCACUCUGUCAUUUACGCCGCUGCGCCCUGUCUUGCGCUCCUCCGUCGCGCCGCUCCCCGUGUGCGCAGGUGGAGGCGGUGGCUGCGGGCCGCGAGCACGCGGUGGUGUCCACCAGCGAGGGCAAGGUGUUCACGUGGGGCGGCCGAGACCUGCUGCUGGGGCGCAGCGGCAGCCCCAAGGAGCCGGGGCAGGCGCUGGUGAGCAGGAGGGGGGCCUGGAAGGAGCAGGCGGGAUUUGCAGCUGUCGCCACGGGAGCGACUUGCAACUGUCGCCGCUGCUUGUGUUUAGUUUGGCUUGCUUUGGUUUAGUUUGGGCUGGUAUUUACACCCCACCCCCAAACCCCCACCCCGCCCGCCAGGGUGACCUAGUGGACGACAACGUGCGCUACGUGAUGGCGGGCGAGUACCACAGCGGCGCCGCCAGCCACACCCACAUCUACGGCUGGGGCAGCAACGACUACCUGUGCACCGGCGUGGGCCGGCACAACCCCGUGCAGGUGCGUGCAGGGCAGCUGGGCAGCGCGCAGAGGGAGGUAGCGGGGGGGGGGCAUGGCUUGUGAGCAAAUCGCAUUUUGUUUGCACAUCCCUGUACCGUGUCUGCUUUUUUGCACCUCGCCGCGCAUGCCUGCCUGCCUCUUAUCUCCUCUGCCCCCCGCCCUGCCUGCGCAGCGCAUGAAGAAGGGCCGCGACCGCGGUGACGUGUUCCGCCCGGCCCGCGCUGUGGGCCCCGUGGCUGACGGCGGCUGGCAGGUGCAGGCGCUGGUGGGCGGCUUCCAGCACGCGCUGGCCAUCGCAGCCAACAAGGGAGGCAGCUGGGAGACCAAGCCCAGGUGAGCACAGGGUGGCUGAGGCUCCUGGGCUUGGGUUUGGGGAGAGUCUGCGAAUCUGUGGGGGCCGGAGGUGGUAAGGCGGAGUCAGGCAGGGGGACAUAACAUCCUUACAACCGGCAUGAGCCACCACUACCAUCUCCUUCGCCUCCUCCUCCUCCACUCGCCCUCACACCGCACGCACUCUCUCUCUCUCUCUCUCCAUCCCCACGCAUGCGGCCCCUCCACCUCCACCGCCUCAUCCUCCACCUCCUCUGGGCCACCACCUCCAUAUCCUCCACCUCCUCCGCCGCCUGGGCAUCCACCAUCCCCUCCGGCCCCGUGCACCCGCAUGCCCGCAUGCGCCAUGUGCGCGCACCUGCAUAUGCCUGUCACGCCUACACACACACCUCUUCCCCUGGCUACGACUUCACUUCGUAAACGUAAUGCGUGUAUCCCCCCAAACACGCGCCCGCCUCGUGCUUGCCCACGUGCAUGGCCCCAAACACGCACACACAUGCACACAUAAACACACGCCCCAGCUCCUGGCUGGACAGCACCAACCCAAACUCCACCAGCCACGGGGCCGCAUCCAGUCGCCUACAGCAUGCGCGUUCAGAAAAGGCCGUGGCCAUAGCAACAGCUGCAGAAGUCUCAACCCUCCGCUCUCGGGGCCCCAGCUCUCGCUCUAGCGGACCUGUGGCCAGUGCCAAGGCUCGCGUUGCCAGCAAGCGCCUGGUUGUGCCCCACGGGCGUGUUGGCGCUGCACACGGCGCCGUCAGGCCUGCCGCCAGGACCACCAGCAGCGUUGCUGCUGCGCCGCAGCCGUCUGCCCUGAAGCCGCAGGAGCAAAAGAAGAGGGGGCGGGUGGAUGCAGCUGCGGUCAAGGGUUGAGGACAGGCAACGUGAAUGUGCGGGAAACUGUUUUAGCUGGGGAUGUUCAGGAGAAGUGAAGGGCCUGGUUGGACAGGGGCAUUUUGUGUGUUGCGAUCUCGUGACUCAUGAGAGCAUGCUUUCCAUUUGGCUCGGGCACAUACCUCCGCCGAUAUCCAUUUGACACUAGGAUGUGUAGGUGGAGGCACACGACUACGGUCUCUGCGCGAUGUUCAAAUGACCCGGCCGCGCGGGCUGUAAUGUUAGUAUUGGGCCAGGUGCCGCGCCGCUAGCCAGGAGAUAUGAAACUGAGGAAUCAGUUGUAGUGUGCGCAUUCUGCACGCUUUGCGCUCCAGCUGCCCUCAUUAGCCCGCCGCAUGUUAUCACCGCACCCAUCAGCAAGUCAUACUGCAACAAAACUCCACCUGUGGACAACAUGAAACAGCACUAGGCUCCUUAGCCCCCUGUGGACACAACCCGUGUCGACUUGCCUGCUGUAGGGGCCUAGGCGAGACCGAUGCGGGCGCUGCCGUCAAGGCGGCCUCGCCCUCCCCCUCCCCUUCGCCCAAGGAGCUGUCCGCCGCGGACGUUGCAGCCGCCGCCGAGGAGCAAGCCGCCGCAGGCGCCGACGCCACUCAAGUCAAGGCGGCCGACACCACCACCACCGCCACGUCAGCAACGGCGGCCGAGGCCGAGGCGAAACCCGCUGCGGAGGAUGCCGCGGCGACAGCGCUCCAGACGGCUGCUGGCGCCUACAGCACCACCGCCGACGGCGCCGCUGCCGGCGCCACCCACACGGACACGUCCGCGCCCGACUACCACACGCGCUACCUGGCGCCGCAGCUGCAUCCCAUCCGCUACAACGUGUCGGACUACGUGCACCGCUACCGCCGCAGCGACCGCUUCCGCAAGAUCGAGGUGCGUGCGGAGGGGUAGGGGUGCCGAGUGGGUUCUGCAGGUGCUGUGAGGAGCGUGUUGCAGAGAGGCGCAGCUGCCCCCUGUCUCCAUCCCACACAACCCGCGCCUUCCCAGCAACACGCCUCUGUGUAAAGCCCCGUGCCCUCUCCCGUCCUGCCCGCCCUGCUGCCAGGCCGAGUCCCCUGACGUCUGGGAGGUCCUGCCGCGCAACUAUGACCGCCGCUACAAGAACCCCUGCUGGUGAGCGCCGGCAGCCGCUCGCUGCGUACAGCACCACCCUGCCUGCCCCACACCACCUGCAAAGUAUAGCCGCAUCACGCCCACCCUACGAACUCUCCGAAACCCCAAACAAUCCUCCUCCUCCGCCACUCGCCAGGGUGACCAAGGACAGCAAGUUCCGCUGCGCGCCCUACUUCCACAUCCUGGGCGUGUCCAAGUGCGGCACCACCGACCUCUACCACCGCCUCAGUCAGCACCCGCAGCUGUUCGAGAGCCGGAACAAGGUGGGAGCGUGGCGUGGCAGGAGCGGGGGCAGGGGCCCUGGUUGGGACGGCAGCCGUGCGGUGCGGUGAGAUGCCGGGAUUCCUGCGGCGUUGGGCGGUGUAGGCCCUGCGGGGUGUUGUAUAUGUGAGGAGUUGCCCCUGGUGGGCUGCCAGGAGGGGCGCUGACCCAGGGGCCGCUACCUUGCACCUGGGGCUGCAGCUUGCGCCUAUGGCACCACAACCCGACACCGCCCACAAUCGCCUGCCCACGUCCACCUCCACUUGCCGCGCGACUGUUUCCUGACGGGAUUGGUUCAACGUUAACCACCUGCGCCCACCUCCCUCACCUCUCCUGCGCCGCAGGGCCCGCACUGGUGGGACGAGUGCCCCUACCCGCCCAAGGGCGCCUGCACCGCCCCGCCCAACGGCGACUUCGACGGCUACGUAGAGUUGUUCGCGGACGCCGCAGCCAAGAUACGCAGCAAGGACCCAGACGUGAGCCGGGCCUGAGGAGGAGAGAGAAAGAGAGAAAGAGAGAGGCGUGUGGAAGAUCAGCAGAGAGUGCAGGGACUGUGAGGGGGCGAGAGUGUUGAAUGGGGGCAACGAGCAGGUUUUGAGCUUGGACUUGCUUGCCCUCGUGUGUGUGUGUGUGGGGGGGUGAAUUGAUACCUGUGCCAUCCAUGCAUCCCGAGUAUUGCUGCCCUGAAGUGAACCCUCAGCUGCACCCGCCCUCUUUUCGCUUUGCCCCCUCGCUCUCCACUACCCCUCCUCAGGGCAUCACCGGAGAGGCUUCGUCCAACACCUUCACCGCCGCAGCGGGCGUCUACCUGCGGUGAGUUGCGCGCAGGUACCAGGUCCUUGAAGCGCGCCCAACAGGCCAGUACAGCCCCCUACUGCAACCCUGAGGCCACAACUUGGGCAACCCCCUGGCACCCUCUGUGGCACCCCCUACCGCACUCCCUGUGGCACCCCCUCCUAUGCACACGACCCGCGCUCACACCGGCCCCAUGCGCUCCGCACCUCUCGGCCCCUGUCUCCAGCGGCCCCUCCUGGGACCGCAACACCACCGUGACCAUGCCCGAGCUGAUGCGCGAGGCGGCGCCCUUCCUGCGCAACAUCAUCAUCUUCCGCAACCCCGUGGACCGAUACUACUCUGCAUUCUACUACUACAGGUGGGGGCGAAGGAGGGGUGUGGGGAGGACGGGGGAGGGCAUUUGACCGGAAGGAGAGGGGGACGGCGAGGGGCGGGGCGGGGGAUAUGAGGAAAUGGGGGGGAGUUUGCAGGAGGGCGGCGGAGGUAGGGCGGGAGGUGGUAGGAGAAAGCUCGUGUGUCUUGCCUGCCUCACGGGCCCUCCGACACCUACUCUUACUUCCUCGUCAGAUGGUGGGUCAAGGACACGCCGCCGCCGACCCCUGAUGACUUCCACAAGCAGGCAACAGAGGUGCGUGUGCGCGGGCGUUUGCGUGCGCGCAUGUGCAUGUGCAUGACUGGAUACGGGUGGAGCGGGCGAGUCCGUUGCCAGCCUUGCCGGCAUAGAGAGGGCGGCCAGGAUUGGUGACUGGUGCGGUCUUCAAACCAAACCGCGACCAGCGCCCCUCCACACAUCCCCGGCCCCGCUCCACGCCUCCAUUUCUUCCGGUCUCUUCCCUGUCCGAUUGGACAGGAGGUGGCCACGUGGCGGGCGUGUGUUGAGGCGCACGGCCAGAAGCACUGCGUGCGCCACUACCACCCGCAGCAGCUGGUCAAGGGCAUGUACAGCGAAUUCAUCAUGGUGAGUGGAGGGGUGCGGGGCCUGGAGGGUGGAGGUUUCGAGCGGGUUGGGGGCGCAGGGACGGGGCUGGAUGGGGGUGCUCUUCAGUUCCAUGCUCGGGCUCUUGUCAAGAGGACCCAGACGUAGGGAGCCCGGGGCAGCCCACAGAGGUUUGGACGGGGAGGGGGACAGGGCACCAGCAGCGCGCUGUGCCGGCACGCGCCGUCGGCAAAUGAGGCCUGGCGCAGCUCCGUGUCGUUGUCACCGCGCCGAGCCAGCCACUGGUCAUGUGCACCCCCAUGCACCCACGCCCCCUCCCGCAGGACUGGCUGAACCACUGGCCGCGCGACCAGCUGCUGUUCCUGCGCAAUGAGGACUACAGCGCAGCCACACGCGAGCACAUGCAGGUGGGGAGGCGGGCGUGCGAGGGUGGGAGGCAGGCGGGUGUGUGUGCAUGCGUAGGAGGGAGGCAGGGUAUGCGCGUCGCGCCUGUUGCGUAAUGCUCGCAUAAGCUCAACUCGAGUAGAUGGACAACCACCAUGCCAUCUGGGUGAAGCCGCCCGGGCUGCUGCUCGACUCGCGUGGCUACGCCGGUGCUCGCGUCCCUCCGUAGCGCUGCUCCUCCUUGCUGUGUCAAGCCCAACCCCUCAUCUGUGCCCUCCCAUGCAAUGCCCGCACCUUCAGACGGUCAUUGACUUCCUGGCUAUGCGGCAGCCCGCGGACAAGGAGUGGGAUGUGGUGAGUACAUGAUAAUGGUGGCCAAGCUGCGAUGGAAGGCGGUGCAAAGGAGGCCGUGCAGUGCGGCGUCGCUCGGCUCGGUUGAGGGCCGCGUCUGGGGUCGACCCGAAUCACCAAGCAGCAGCAGCAAUUCCCCCUCCCCACAUCGCCGCUCCUGCCCCCAACCUCCCCACGCCUCGCCGCGUCCCCGCUCGGUGUCGGCGCACACGCUUUGCUGUUGAGCCAGCUCUUCCAUCGCUUUUUGAACAGUCCUGAUUAGAGUUGUGGAUGGCAAAAACAACCCUCUCGCGCCCCUACGGGUCGUUUAAAUUCAGAUCAUGGCCAUGAAGACGCGCAACAAGAAUAGCGACAAGUACAAACCCAUGCUUCCCGAGACGCGUGCCAUGCUUGAGGUGAGAUGAUACGGGCUUGUCAGGCGACAAGUAGUAUGUAUGUGUUGUGGGCACAGGCGCAAUGCGGGGCUGCGCUUACCUCUGCUGGUUGCCAGCACCUGAUGCCCCUUGCCCCGAUCACACCGCACCACUCACCCCGCCGCACAGGCCUUCUACCGGCCCUACAACGAGCGAUUGGCGCACGUGCUGAACGACGACCGGUGAGGGCAUCCGUGUGGGCAGCGUGCGUGUUAUGGGCCGGGGGGGGGGGUUGUGAAUACCAGCCCAAACCAAACCAAAAUCAACGAAAACGAGCGGAGCACAGGCAGAGGCGUUAGUUGCAAGCGAUAAUACUUAUGGGAUGGGGGCCGAGGCGUCGUGGAGCAGCAGGGCGAGCGGCGCCGGCGAUAAAUGUCGCCGCCCGGGCUCGGUGGCGCGCACAACAGCACAGGACAGGCACGCGGACGCGACAAGCAAAACCCACGACUUACCUGGCGACCAGGAAAGCAGCCCCGACGCCAGGCAGGGAGCGUCGGGCCAGGAGCGCGACAAAGGGGCAAGGCAAAAAUCGGAAGGGAAGGGCACAGUGAAGGGCCGAAGCGUCGGCAGUAGGAUGAAGAAGGGAUAACAAAGACAUGAGUACACAUAUGCCCAGGCGGCGAAAGAGGCAGAGUGGGUGUGAGGCAGGGGUUAAGAGGUAUAUGCGGGUGGCAUGGGGACCGGUUAAGGGAGAGAUGACGGGGUGCUGGGCAGUGUGCGGGCCGCGUACAGCUCCCCACAAGCACUGCCAGCCUGGAUGCCCCGCACGCAGAGGGGGCACCCAGAUGCAGGGAUGGUUAGUCGGGAGGAGGGGCGGGGCAGGCAGGUGGCGAGCACAGGCAGGGGACACGGUGAGCCGUCAGGGGUGUCAGCGGGUACUCACGGGGUGGUGGCGGGCGGGGGCUUGGCAUGGCAUGGUGGUGAAUGUAACGCCCUGAAUAUGCAUGGUAUACUUAUGUCACAGGUGGCUGUGGCGGGAUCCGCCCAAGUCGCCCAAGCCGGCGGGCGUGCAGUCGGAUGCCGCGGGGACAGCCACGGCCCGGAGGCUACUGCUGCAGCCAUCGGUCUGAUUUGAAGGGGCCGCACAAUACGGGUCCCACGAGGAGGGACGGUAGGAUACAGGUGGAUAUGUGUGAACACGUUGAGGAGUACCGGUGCACCGGUCGCUGUGCGCGGGGGAAGGGCGUGCGUGCAAUGCUGAGCAGUGAGCGCGAGUGAGCAGAGAGCACAUACGUGGCGAGCGAGCAAUGGCUCGCGACACGGGCAGAGCUUCAUCCUGGUAAGAGAGUAAUAGGUGCCGUCCUGGCCAGGGACAAGAGGAAAGUGGGCCAUGUUUGGCCCAAAAGGCCCUCUCGUUUCAGUACGUCCCGUACCCUUUGUUGUGAAGACUGACUGUUGCACUUGUCAUGCACUGCUGAGCCGGGAUACGCCCUGGCAGCCCCGGUCAGCUUCGGCAUGCACAGAGGGGCGUGUGGAGGUCUGAGGGCGACGCAGGGUGCAUACGAGGGGCUUGGUAAGCCCGGUUUGGACAAGGGGAGGCGAGGGGAGGGCACGGAGUCACGGCGCACACCUUUGCCGAGGUGCGUGUGUUAAAUUAACAAUGCAGUGCGCACAUGGAUCCAGGAUACUAAUGGGCUGACUUACGCUUGGGCGCACGGUAGGAGUUGUUCCUGCAAAUUUCAAGUGACACCCCCUCGCGCGCGACUUUCCUGGCGUCAAUUUGCGCCAGACCGAGGCUACAAAUCGCCACUUUCCUGGCGUUAAUUCCUACAACUCCAUAUCAGGAUACAGUUAUACUUACAUACACAAAUGACCGCAAACGAGCAACCUCCAACGAAGUGCGCACCCGCCAAACAUAGCACAGAGCGUGGCGAGUUCCUGCAGCCCGAGUGUCCCUGUUGCAUGCUGCCUAACCUGGCUUGGCGCAGCAGUAAGGGCAUGCGCGGGCGCGCGGCGCAGAGGAUCCCAGCGCGCCAGAACGGCAUGCACAACACCGACCGACUGGCGCAGCACGCACGGCCGCAGUGGCCACGCACUCGGCUCCAAGGCCUGCCUGCCACGGCCACCCCAGGUCACCCGGCUCCUGGACUCCUCUCCCGUCACACGUCGCCUUGCUGCAUAUGAGCACCGCAGUAGGGAUGCAGCACUAGUCACACGCACGGCCUACGACGGUGCCUCUCUGGGUCUAGCUGUGUCGCGUGCAUCGUACGGGUGGCUACGGUGAGGGGUCAGAUGGAUGCGUGUGGUCUCACCUUUGCGGAGAGCGUCAUGCGUUGUACAGCCCGCGGAGUUUGGCCAUUCCAGAGCGGCCACUGCCACGCGUGCGGUACGGCCUUCUUUGCCAGAUUCCCCGGGCAUACGGCACGCUUUAACAACAGCCAUGGCGUUGCCAUGGACUGCCUGCGCCUGUUAUUGACGAGUGGUGCGGAACUAAUGCGUACGUAGACCAGAGCGGAAGGCGGAGUGGGCUUGCAGGCGGCACGAGAGUAGGCAGUCAGUAGCGCAAGUUGCGAUAUCACAUGUUACCUCGUGACCGACGGUAAACGCUGUGGACGGUCGCCUCGUCGUUCAUAGCUUGGAGGAGGCGGCAAUCAGCGAGUGACCGUGAGCACGACCGAUGCUUUCGUUCUUUGUCGCCAGCAUGCAUUCGCUAGUCUGCUAGUCUUAAGGGUGUGUAGCUAUCGAAGUAAGAGCCUGCCUGCAGCAAGAAUGCGGUAUCGGCACUUGGGUCUGGGCAUGUUUUAGUGAGCACUGCAUCCACCGAUACUUGCAAGGAUAUGAAGAUUGCUUAUCUGUGUGUGCAAAAGGCCGGCUCGUUCUGAGCAGUGCGCGAAGUUUUGCUGAAAAUUCCUAGUUUACGAGCUGAGUCGUCCCCCACCGGCAAGUUAAAAGUUGGCCAUGCCAAAGUUUCUCAGCGACACCUAACUGCAACGAGAAAGGCGCUGCGUUGAUCCGGGCCUAGCAGCUGUGCAAUACUUCCUUGGCACGCAGUGUCCAGACUAUGUGAGUAAUGAUAAAUAGCCAAAUGCAUGUUUAGACUCUGAUAGAUUCUCUUUCCAUCAAAGCCAGGCCGUAUGAAAGCUUCGACAUAGAUGACGACUUAAGUCACAACACUACUGUACUCCCAAUCUUUACAAGGUAUAUAUACUGUCAUGUAAGACAUAAAUAUAGCAGAG